CACGAACAGCAUGUGUGGAUGUGGAGAUGACUCAUCCCUUUGAUCCCCAACCAUCGACACUGUCUGCUCCUGACAUCCAACCAUUGACAUCGUCAUGGCCUGAUGAUCCUCCCUCUAAUGUGUCAUCAGAAGGUUAAUAGUAGCCUAAUGCUUAUAUCAUUCACCUCACUCCAUCUCGUCAAGUAGGCAUUUUAUCAUCUCACAUCAUCACAAGAAGAAGGAAUCCUGGUGCUUUGCUAGCAAGCUGACCUUGGCACUGGAUCUCCUAUCCAAGAACUUGCAUCUACAGAUGGACUUGGUACCCAGCUUUGUGAUAGAAGCCAUGGAGAUAAAUCUAAUUACCUGGAGCUCAAAGGGACUUUGGAAAGGCCUAAAAUCUUCGUUUGUCUUUGAGGUCAUCGUUUGCUAAACUUCAUGGAUGUUAAUUAUUUUUUGGCAGGCAAGAAAUACCAAAGAAUUCGGGAUCCUCUUAAGAAGACAUUGCUUUAUAUUUCAUAAUAUCCCUUAAGUGACUUGUGCAUGACAGGUGCUCAGUAAAUUCUUUCCAAUUGAUUGAAAUAAAUUCUGAACAGUUUGAGUUUCAUAUUUAUAUUUGGCUUAUCAAAUCAUCAUCCCAGAGGCAAAAAUAACUAGAA
rnacentral:lncRNA from 1 species